UUGGAGGGCAAGUCUGGUGCCCGCAGCCGCGGUAAUUCCAGCUCCAAUAGCGUAUAUUAAAGUUGUUGCAGUUAAAAAGCUCGUAGUUGAAUUUCGGAAUCCAUCCAUCGGUCGGGCUUCACGGUCCGCACUGGUGUGAUGGAUUCCUACCUUCUGAAUAACCAGCAUGUCAUUAAUUUGGUGCGUUGGGGAAGCAGGACUGUUACCUUGAAAAAAUUAGAGUGCUUAAAGCAGGCUAGUGCCUGAAUACAUUAGCAUGGAAUAAUGAAAUAGGACGGCAUGGUUCUAUUUUGUUGGUUUCUAGGAUCACCGUAAUGAUUAAUAGGGAUAGUUGGGGGCAUUAGUAUUCAAUUGUCAGAGGUGAAAUUCUUGGAUUUAUUGAAGACUAACUUCUGCGAAAGCAUUUGCCAAGGAUGUUUUCAUUAAUCAAGAACGAAAGUUAGGGGAUCGAAGACGAUCAGAUACCGUCGUAGUCUUAACCAUAAACUAUGCCGACUAGGGAUCGGACGAUGUUAAUUUUUUAAUGACUCGUUCGGCGCCUUACGGGAAAC
rnacentral:rRNA from 1 species